AGGCUUUGAUCCUGGCUCAGGAUGAACGCUAGCGGCAGGCUUAAUACAUGCAAGUCGAACGGUAACAGGCCUGGCAACAGGCGCUGACGAGUGGCGCACGGGUGCGUGACACGUAUGCAACUUACCCUUUACCGGGGAAUAACCCUGAGAAAUCGGGGCUAAUACCCCAUAGUAUUUAUUUAAGGCAUCUUAGAUAUAUUAAAGAUUUAUCGGUAAAGGAUGGGCAUGCGCCCCAUUAGUUAGUUGGUGAGGUAACGGCUCACCAAGGCGAUGAUGGGUAGGGGUUCUGAGAGGAUUAUCCCCCACACUGGUACUGAGACACGGACCAGACUCCUACGGGAGGCAGCAGUAAGGAAUAUUGGGCAAUGGAGGCAACUCUGACCCAGCCAUGCCGCGUGCAGGAAGACUGCCCUAUGGGUUGUAAACUGCUUUUCUGCGGGAUUAAUGUCACCCACGUGUUGGGUGUUUGCAGGUACUGCAGGAAUAAGCAUCGGGUAAUCCGUG
rnacentral:rRNA from 1 species